AUUAACAAAAUGUAAUGAAAUAUUACUUUCAUUUUUUACAAACAGAAAGUGGUAAACUGUAAAAUAACAAAGAGAUUUAAAUUGAAAUUCAACUGAGCGGAAAUGAUAUCCAUUUAACCUGUUAUACGUUGAAAAUAUUAAAAAUUUUAAAAGUUCAGAUGUGUAUAUGUGUGUUAGAGUUGCGGCACGAAAGAAUAAUUUUAAAAGUUAGAAAAACAUUGUACGUUUCAAACAUGGCAGAAGUUCGAUAAUUUUCAAAUAAAAAUGCUAAAACCUUUAUUUAUUUUGGUCGAGCUAUUUCAAUUUUAAACGCAAAUAAUAUUAUUUACUAUUUUGAAUUCAAAUAAUAAUACCGAUGGUGUAAUUAAUUAUUCGUUAGAGAAAGAAUUUUAAACGAUGGAAUUAUCUGGAUAGUCACGUAUCACAGUACACUCCGUUAUCGAAUAUCGAUAAUGAAAAUUUAAAGGGCCUUCGACGCUUUCAUUUUCCUCUUCACAUCGCUUUGUGAUAAUCCGAGAUCGUUCGUGGAAGAAGAUUAUCGUUAACCCUCUAUAUCAUAGAUUCGUGUGUUACGAUAUAUGAAAAUUAAAAUUAAAAUCUGAACAAAUUUUUCAAGUAAUCAGAAGUAAUCAAGAACUUGAAUAAAUCAUUCAAAGAAAACAAGGCUGUGUAACGGAAAAAAUUCAUAGUGACAUCUUGUAUGAUUAAACUAAUAUUGUUAGUGACAUAUUAUUAUUAAAUUGUGAUGGAUACUAAUAAAUUUUCUUGCAUAACAUUUGAUAAUAAGGUAAAUUAAAUUUUAUUAAUAAAAUUUUGUGUGAUUUAAUUAUCUUAUUUCACAUAAAAUUCUAAAAGUGAAGUUCAUAACCUAUAACUCGUAAUUCGUGAAUUCACUAAUAUUAUUAAUUACUAAAUCAUUAUACAAGAGAGUUUUAAAACUUAAGUUUAAACUAUCAAAAUCGUAUUUUCGAAAUGGAUUUAAGUGCAUAAAUGAGUUUUUCAUUGAAAAUAAUUGUUUAUGUGUCUUAUUGUAUAUACCAAUAUUCCAUUCUCGAAGGUGGUUAGGUUAAUCUCUUAAACUCGUUCUACUUGAAACGUUGGUAUAUUUGUCCUGUGUUCCUGUGCAAGUUCUUAUUACUUCAAUCAUUUAUAUAUUCGUCCUCGUCACUUAACCUUAUGGAUAUAUUCAUGAUUCACCAGCAACAGAUUAUUUCCUCGUCCGUGAUCCAUACUGAUGUAUUGUACAUGUGGAAUAACGAAAUAUCAGCCCACUGGCAACACUACGAACGCAAAUAAUCGACAUUUGUAAUUCGAUUGAAAGUCACGAAGGCUGAAUAACGUCAGAAGAAUCUUCCAAUGCGAAUGAUUCACUCUUCCUUCGAUGAAUACGAAAUUCAUCGAAUUAUUGGAUAGAUGGAGAGAACCAGGCAAAGGAGUGUGAGAAUAGGUGAAAGAAAUGCAUUCGAGGCAUGUAAUCCGUUUAUAUUCCCUGUGAUUGACCGUUCUCCCAUCAGUCCCUGUUACACGAGAACGUUACUCUUCGUUGAAAUGUUUCCCGCCCAUUGCAACAGAAUGGAAUACGCAAAGUGGAAAUAAUACGAAAAUUUUUGUUCGUGAUUUCAAUUUGAUUUCAAUAAAUCUGAAAAUUUCAAUAAGAUAAGUUUUAUCCAAAAUAAUCCAAAUAAUUAAAAUUUUUUAACGAUUUAAUUUAUGUUAAUAAUAAUUUAUAACAAUUCAUUAUUCGUUUUCAGUGAUUUAUCAUAACAAUAAUUUUACGCCUUGGUUUAUCCUUUACAAAUGGCUACAUUUCUCAUUUUUACGAGCUUUUUGCUUUUUAAUUACAAUUCCGAGUUUCUACAAAGCCGAUAAACUUUAAAUGGAAGCACGCAUCGUACGGUGAAAAAAAGAAAAGAAAAGAAAGAAUGAAAAAAAAAAAAAA